CCCAGAAAAAAAAAUCAAGUCAAAAGUAGCUUCUACCUCACCUUUUAUUAAAGAGAUAAUGCCUUCUAAACAAAUCCUUCAGAGAUAUGGGCAUAGUCCUUAGACUGAACAA